UCUCCGUUGGUGAACCAGCGGAGGGAUCAUUACAGAGUUCCACAACUCCCAACCCCUGCGAACCGUACCCCAGUUUGUUCUCGUUGCCUCCUGGCGGGGGCCCCGGCGGUGGCGGCGAGCCCCCUGGACCUUUUUUUCUCAACCAGCCCGUCUGAGCAAACAAACAAAUGAAUCAAAACUUUCAACAACGGAUCUCUUGGUUCUG
rnacentral:misc_RNA from 1 species